UACAGAGGUCUCAAGCGUUGUUCGGAUUCAUUGGGCGUAAAGAGCUCGUAGGCGGUUCGGCAAGUCACGUGUGAAAUCUCCACGCUCAACGUGGAGGCGCCACGUGAGACUGCUGUGACUCGAGUCCGGUAGGGGAGCGUGGAAUUCCCGGUGUAGCGGUGAAAUGCGCAGAGAUCGGGAGGAACACCCGUAGCGAAGGCAGCGCUCUGGGCCGGUACUGACGCUGAGGAGCGAAAGCGUGGGGAGCAAACAGG
rnacentral:rRNA from 1 species